CUACGGGUGGCUCCAGUGAGGAAUAUUGCACAAUGGGGGGAACCCUGAUGCAGCAACGCCGCGUGGAGGAUGACGCAUUUCGGUGUGUAAACUCCUUUUAUAUGUCAAGAAAAUGACGGUAGCAUAUGAAUAAGCACCGGCUAACUCCGUGCCAGCAGCCGCGGUAAUGCGGAGGGUGCAAGCGUUACUCGGAAUCACUGGGCGUAAAGGACGCGUAGGCGGGUUGGAAAGUCAGGUGUGAAAUCCUACAGCUUAACUGUAGAACUGCACUUGAAACUUCUAAUCUAGAGUAUGGGAGGGGGAGAUGGAAUUAGUGGUGUAGGGGUAAAAUCCGUAGAUAUCACUAGGAAUACCCAAAGCGAAGGCGAUCUCCUGGAACAUUACUGACGCUAAGGCGUGAAAGCGUGGGGAGCAAACAGGAUUAGAUACCCGAGUAGUC
rnacentral:rRNA from 1 species